rnacentral:rRNA from 1 species
AGUGGGGAAUAUUGCGCAAUGGGCGAAAGCCUGACGCAGCGACGCCGCGUGGGGGAUGACGGCCUUCGGGUUGUAAACCUCUUUCAGCAGGGACGAAGCGGAAGUGACGGUACCUGCAGAAGAAGCACCGGCCAACUACGUGCCAGCAGCCGCGGUAAUACGUAGGGUGCAAGCGUUGUCCGGAAUUAUUGGGCGUAAAGAGCUCGUAGGCGGUUUGUUGCGUCGGCUGUGAAAACCUGAGGCUCAACCUCAGGCCUGCAGUCGAUACGAGCAGACUAGAGUGUUGCAGGGGAGACUGGAAUUCCUGGUGUAGCGGUGAAAUGCGCAGAUAUCAGGAGGAACACCGGUGGCGAAGGCGGGUCUCUGGGCAACAACUGACGCUGAGGAGCGAAAGCGUGGGGAGCGAA